GUGAACACAUUGUAGAGAUGAAUGAGGUAGGUCUCCUUCUGGAAGAGGAAAUAGCGCUGGAACAAGGCAAAAGGAUAUCCCAUCAGGAUGGACACGAUGAGGCGCAGCGCCUGCUCCGACGAGCCCAGGGCCUCCGCCACCCGGGCCAGGCUCCAGCCGGACCCCGCCACCGCCAUCUUCUCCGCCGGCCCCGCCGGCCGGUUGCUCCCG
rnacentral:lncRNA from 1 species